rnacentral:ncRNA from 2 species
ACCUUAAAAAAUAUUUAAGGUAUUAAUUCGAUUAAAAGGGAAUCUGGUGCAAUAAUUUUAUUAAUUCCAGAACUGUUCCCGCAACUGUAAGUUUAUGCUGAAAUUAUUUCAGUACUUCAUUAGAAGAUGUUAUUAACUUCAAUACCACUGGCUUUUGCUGGGAAGGUGAAAUAACAUAAAAACAAGUCAGGAGACCUGCCUAAUUUCUUAAUAAUUA